CGGUGCUUAAGAGCAAGUGCUCCUAAGUAAGCUUCAUCGGAAAUUUUACAGAAAAUUGGACAGAGUUUUCCCUGUUUUUGGACUAUCCCAAAAAAUUUCUCUGUCUCAAAUCAGCAACCAAACAUCCUAAUAGCAAUUCAAACAAUCGACAACUUAUCAAUUAACCAAAAUAGUCUUCACCAUUACUAAUCAACCCACUAACAACCAAAAAUACUAAUUUAUCUCCAACUUUGAUAAUAAAGAACGAUACUCGACAUAAGACUAAUAGCAAAAUAAUACUCAUGACACCAAAAGAAUGACUAUGGAGCGACUCUAAGAAUUCAAAGAAAAGACCAUAACAACUGAUAAAAAUCUCCAUCCACGCGAACAAGUGCGAGGCUCACCAAGAAUUCUCAACAUGUGCGCUCUAAUUAACGAAAUCCUCGUCUGCGUCAACUGUUGUCUCUGUAGAAAAAAUUUAGCGGGGAAUGAGUCGCUAGCUCAGUGAAUAAAAACACUUAACCACAACCGUUUUUAUUUGGGGAUAAGUCAGAAAACAUGCUAGUAUCUCAAACAGAAAAUAACAUAAAAUGCCCUUUCAGAAACAAUAAAUAAUUUUCAGUUUCAUCACGCUUUUCUUGUAGUAUAAUAUAAUUAACAAUUCAGUAAUAAGCUUGGUAACCACUGUAUAAUAUCAGUAUUCACAUUUUGGGAGGUUUCAAUGAACGGAUCAUGUAAUCGAUAUAAUUGUAGACUUCUUUGCAAUAAGUCAAAUAUAACGGUAGUCCCUACUCGAGGGAAGUCGGUAACAGUAUGCUAGUUCUACCUUCCCACUAGCGAGGGCUAUAACGGUAAUCUGUAAUUACAAGGUGCGCCAGGUCUAACGAACCCGCCGUUAGCUACGGGAUCCUUCAAUGUCUACUCCCAUUUAUACUUGUAUCUGUAAUCCGUAUAUACUCGUAGAAAAUAUUUUAAAACAAUAUAGGGCAUUUCGGUUUUUAUCAAAUCAUGUAAUUUCGUUUCAAUAACGGUAAAUCUUAUCUCAAGUAACAGUAAAAUGUAAUCAGUAACAAUGAGAAUAUUUAGAAUAACUGUAAUCGUCUAAAAUAAAUAUAGUAGUAUCAUAUCGAGUAAAGGACUUGUCCCACAUGCAAAUUCAAAUCAGUCGGUAACUCAUAUUAAAAUCAUACGUAAAUCAUGCUAGUUGUAGAAAUACAAAUUGCGGUAAGGUUACUACUCACAAUACUCGUGCCGAAAUAC
rnacentral:lncRNA from 1 species